CCUACGGGAGGCAGCAGUGAGGAAUAUUGGUCAAUGGGCGCGAGCCUGAACCAGCCAAGUCGCGUGAGGGAUGACGGCCCUACGGGUUGUAAACCUCUUUUGCCGGGGAGCAACGGGCGCCACGUGUGGCGCCACUGAGAGUACCCGGAGAAAAAGCAUCUGCUAACUCCUUGCCAGCAGCCGCGGUCAUAUGGGGGAUGCCAGCGUUAUCCGGAUUUAUUGGGUUAAAAGGGUGCGUAGGCGGAUGGUUAAGUCAGUGGUAAAGUUGAGGGGCUCAACCACUUCGCGCCAUUGAAACUGGCGCUCUUGAGUGGAAGAGAAGUGUGCGGAAUGCGUGGGGUAGCGGUGAAAUGCAUAGAUAUCACGCAGAACCCCGAUUGCGAAGGCAGCAUGCCGGCUUCCGACUGACGCUGAAGCACGAAAGCGUGGGGAUCGAACAGGAUUAGAUACCCCAGUAGGC
rnacentral:rRNA from 1 species